AAAACUUCUCCAGGGCCCCAAAAAUCCUCAGACCCCUGAGGGUUAAAGUUUAAACGACGGAACUGUUUCCUCCGGUUAGCUAGUGUUCUCUCUCGCGUGUGGUGGAUCACCGUGCAUGAACCCCUGUACGAAGAGUUCGACGCGCGUUAUUUCGUCGUUUGUUUCUUUUUCACACAAGGAGCUGUUGUUGGGCGUGUAAACUUAGUUUGAACCUCUGGCUGUCGGCGAACACCGCGCCCGCGCCCGCGCCCGCGCCCGCACCUGCACCCGCACCCGCGCUUCCAGCAGAGGAGAGAGGAUGAAGCGCGAAAAUGGUCAAGAAGAGAUGCUUUGGAUUAGAAGUAAAAGUUGUCAACGACGAGCCUGACAUCAGCCUGAUGGUACUUCAAUGGCCAGCUCUUUCUACAGUAAACCAGGUUGCAGCUGACAAGGACUCAUACAGGCAAACUUCAGUGAGAAUCGUCUGUGUUGAUCUAUAAAGUGCUCAGCUAAACCCAUCAUGAGUGAAGAUCGUCUUGGAAGGAUGUUUGAUGAUGGAUGAACUGACCAACCUCAGGACUUCUGUGUCCUUUUUUCUGACUGAUUUAUGCCCUGCAACUGGACUACCCUAACUGUAUGAAAAAAUACUUUAUAUUUUAUUCAGCAGGUAAUGCUCAACCUAGGAAAAUGUGAGCUGGCACCUAAAAUGGAAUACUGCCACUAUUGUGAACUCAGGAGUGUGAACAAACCAUAUAGUUUUGAUGCAAUUUGUUGUGAUUCUGAGAUAGACUAUUUAUGUGCUUAACAAUAAGCUGAUUUUUUAAAACUAGUUUUUUCACGUUUUAUAAGGAAAUGUUUUCAGGACAUGAAAUGUUGUUGUAUUUGGAAUUAAAUUAAAAUAAAACAUAAAAUUGAAUAAAUGUACCUUUUAUUUGCUUUUUUUCUUAAUUUUGUAGUAAAAUAGAAGUUGCUAUAAAUUAACUUGCUUAGUACAUUGAACUUAACUAUACUAUGUGUAAUAACUACAAAGUAAUUAAUAUUACAAAACAUUUUAAGUUAAAUUAACUUGAAUUUUUAAGUCCACAUUACUUAAUCAUUACUUAAUUUUUUUAGGGCAACCAGUUUCCUCAAAUUUUUUAAGUAAAUUCAACUUAUCCGGGCUAACAGUGUAGUUUGAAAACUGAACUGUUAUUAGUACUGUAUUUUUACUUAUUUAUUUAUUUUUACUUUUUUACAUAUUUAUUUUAAUAAAUUUAUUUACUUGUUUUUUAAUAUUUUUAAUUUAUUUAUUUUAAUCUUAUUUUGUUCUGUUUUGUGUUGUUUUUUUUGGGUUUUUUUACUUUUUUUUACACCUUUUCUCUAAAUUUUUCCAUAGACCACCAUUUUUAUGAACCCCAUUUUGAAAACUGAAUUGUAUAGUACUGUAUUUUUUCUUUUUUACUUUUUUUUACAUAUUUUAAUCAAAUUUGUAUUUAUGUACUUUUUUAUUUAUAUAUAUUUUAAUUUAUUUUAAUCUUAUUUAUUUAUUUAUUUA